GUGGGCCACCGACCCGAGCCACGUCAGCGCGGCGUUCGGGCUGGCCCGGGUGCAGUUGGCCGGCGGCGACCGG
rnacentral:tRNA from 1 species